AGACGUUCGGAAUAUUGGGCGUAAGAGCUCGUAGGCGGUUUGUCGCGUCUGCUGUGAAAUCCGGAGGCUCAACCUCCGGCCUGCAGUGGGUACGGGCAGACUAGAGUGCGGUAGGGGAGAUUGGAAUUCCUGGUGUAGCGGUGGAAUGCGCAGAUAUCAGGAGGAACACCGAUGGCGAAGGCAGAUCUCUGGGCCGUAACUGACGCUGAGGAGCGAAAGGGUGGGGAGCAAACAGGCUUAGAUACCCUGGUAGUCCACCCCGUAAACGUUGGGAACUAGUUGUGGGGUCCAUUCCACGGAUUCCGUGACGCAGCUAACGCAUUAAGUUCCCCGCCUGGGGAGUACGGCCGCAAGGCUAAAACUCAAAGGAAUUGACGGGGACCCGCACAAGCGGCGGAGCAUGCGGAUUAAUUCGAUGCAACGCGAAGAACCUUACCAAGGCUUGACAUAUACGAGAACGGGCCAGAAAUGGUCAACUCUUUGGACACUCGUAAACAGGUGGUGCAUGGUUGUCGUCAGCUCGUGUCGUGAGAUGUUGGGUUAAGUCCCGCAACGAGCGCAACCCUCGUUCUAUGUUGCCAGCACGUAAUGGUGGGAACUCAUGGGAUACUGCCGGGGUCAACUCGGAGGAAGGUGGGGAUGACGUCAAAUCAUCAUGCCCCUUAUGUCUUGGGCUUCACGCAUGCUACAAUGGCCGGUACAAAGGGCUGCAAUACCGCGAGGUGGAGCGAAUCCCAAAAAGCCGGUCCCAGUUCGGAUUGAGGUCUGCAACUCGACCUCAUGAAGUCGGAGUCGCUAGUAAUCGCAGAUCAGCAACGCUGCGGUGAAUACGUUCCCGGGUCUG
rnacentral:rRNA from 1 species